ACCUACGGGGGGCAGCAGUAGGGAAUCUUCCACAAUGGACGAAAGUCUGAUGGAGCAACGCCGCGUGAGUGAAGAAGGGUUUCGGCUCGUAAAGCUCUGUUGGUAGUGGAGAAAGAUAAAGGUAGUAACUUGCCUUUUUUUGACGGUAAUUUCUUAGAAAGUCACGGCUAACUACGUGCCAGCAGCCGCGGUAAUACGUAGGUGGCAAGCGUUGUCCGGAUUUUUUGGGCGUAAAGCGAGUGCAGGCGGGUUAA
rnacentral:rRNA from 1 species